rnacentral:hammerhead_ribozyme from 1 species
AUCCAGCUGAUGAGUCUCAAGUAGGACGAAACUCACGUCCUGGAU